ensembl:lncRNA
AUUCAUUCAUGAGUAUUCUUCACCAUAGUUGCGGCUGAUGUGGUCGUGUGUGUGUGUGCCUUUCAGGACGUCAGUUCAGUGUAUCAGAUCUUCACUGAUGAGGUGCUUGGUUCAGGACAGUUUGGAGUGGUUUAUAGAGGCACCCACAGACAGUCUGGUCACCCUGUGGCCAUCAAGGUCAUCGACAAAACCCGUUUCCCUACCAAACAGGAAAGACAGUUGAGGAACGAGCAGGCAAUUCUACAGGUGAAGGUUCCAGAUCUGUGUGUUUGUGUUACAGGGAGUUACAGUAUUUGAAAUAAACGUCCCAUCUCGUUUUCAUAUUUGUGUUUGUGUGUGCGGGUGUGCAUGUGUGUGUAGACUUGCCAAUCUCCCUUAGUUUGUCUGUGAGACUCUCUACUUGAUUAAUAAUCCUUCCAACA